rnacentral:lncRNA from 1 species
GAAUGGGAAGUUGUGAGGAAAUGCUAGAGGGGCAUGGAUUUCCACCAAAGUUUGUACACUUGGUGAUAGUGUGUUUCCUCUACUAGUUUCUUUGUCAAAUUAAAUGGGAAAGCAUGUGGAUUCUUUGAAGGUAGAAGAGGGUUGAGGCAAGAUGAUUCUAUUUCUCCUCUACUAUUUGUCCUAGUAGUGUUGAAUUUAAAAAUUGUUGGUUGG